GCCCCGGCCCAUGGCCCCAGACCGGUCAGCCGCGAGGCCACCUGAGCUGCGAGCUGAGGAGGCCCCAUGGCUGUUCCCGCAAAGGGCCGGGGGGCGCAUUUUCUCUCCUGCCAGCCAGCUCCAUCCUGGUCCUUUAUUCCCGGCCUUCCCUCACCCCCCACCCCCACAGCCUGCUGUAUGUAAAUAGGGAAAUAGAUCUACACGGACACAAUAAUUUAGCUUGGUUGGUCUUUGGCAUUUUCUAUAAGACCCCAAGAGAUGGACUUUCCUCUCCCCUUCCUCCUUUUAGAAAUGGCAUCCUUCAUCUCUGUCUAUGCAGGCCCAAUUAUCCAGAUCCUCGGGGCUCCAAUAGGGUCUGAGUCAUUGGAACCAGGAACACCUGGCUGAAACAUGCCACAUAAUUAGAUUUUCUUUUUCUUUACCUUUUCUUUCUUAUUUUUAUGAGAGGCCCGGAAUUAGCCUCUUCGACUGGGGCGGAGUAGCUGGGGUGUGGGAAAGGAACACCUUCAUACAACUUCCAGCUUUCAGCCCCUUGGAGAGAUUUCCAAAUUCCCCUGAGCCGCUAGGACUUCCUUUCCUGGAUCUCUCGGCCACCUCCUCCUCCUUCUCCGAUCUUUUUUUUUUCCCUCCUCCCACUGUCUUCUCUACGGUUUAAUCAAAGUUCAGCGACUCCACUUGCCUCUCCUCUCAUUUCUUUCGGAAAGCGGAAACCAGACGAUCCAGCGGCCACAGGACGAGUCGCCCCAACUCAACCCCAGCAGGACGCUGGAGGGGCCUCCCUCCCCCGCCUCUCUUCACCGGCGCUGGCCUCCCGCACCCGGGUGUGCAGUCCCUCCGCCAUCUCACAGGCUUCUGCUUUGUGUGAUCAGGGAAGGGAUCCCACAUACAGGAAUGGUUAAUGGAUUUUGGGACUCUCUAGGAGCCCCUGUUUUAAGAAGGAGGCCAAAUGUGCAGGCUCAGGCCAAGUGGCAGAGAUGAAUGAGGUGAUGACCACAGCCUUGAUCCGGCAGGAGCUCAGAGAUGCCCGGGAAGACGGGGUGCCCGAAUGGAAGCAGAAAAACACUUAUGGCCUCUGGGAAGUUGGGAGAGCCAGGCUGGGGCUCCGGCAGGCCCAGGGAAAGUUCCCUUUCUAGGCUCUUUAUUAAAAAAUUUAAAAGGAGGAGUUGAGGCGCCUUGAAUUUUCCUUUGCGAGUUUGGAGACCAGCCGAUUUUUCAUGAAGCAAGCAAAGACUGCGGUCCCGGAUCCUGCAACAUAUACCUCAUUUUCUCCAGGCCUCUCCACUUGCUCGAGCUCUCAGCCACCAGGAGACAGACGGAAGGGGCUUCUGGGCUGUGUUGGGAGCGGGCACUGUCCCCUACCCACUCCUGCACAGUUUCCCAAAGUCCAGCGACCUCCGACCCUCCUUGGGGGAAAAAAUAUCAGUACCCAGACACCUCUGCAUCCUGUUAUAUGACUGGGCUUGCUUCAGGAAUAUCUUACAAAGAAGAAGAAGAAGAAGGAGGAACGGCUUGGAGUCAUGUUUACAUCUAGUUCUACUGAUCCAUUCACAUCUGGAGAGUUUAUUUAUAACUCUCUCUAUAACUCUCUGUUUGGAGGCACUGGUGGCUCUACUGACAGACUGAUGUCUAGGAAAUAUUGCUGUAUGUCUAACCGUACCUAAAUGUGCUGUGGUUGUAUUUACUGAUUUACGUUUGAGGGAAAUAUAAUUAUUUCCAUUGUAUUUGUGCAUAUACAGUAGUUAUAGGAGCAUAUUUAUAUAUGGGAAAAUAUACGACUCUCUUACAGCCAUCCGGCUUUAUGUACAUUUGAUAUCCUGACAGAUUUAUAUCUCUGAACAGCUAUAUAGAUAAAAACGUAUAUCGUUAGAAUUAUGUAUCAGGAGAUAUAUACUUAUUGAUUGUGAAAUAGAGUAGUUAGAGCAUUCACUUAGAGCCAUAUAUGGCUAUGGAGAUAUUUCUAUAUUAUUAUCACUAUAUAUAGGCAUAUCUAUUUAUAACUGCAUAGUUAUAAAAAUAGACAUAAUUAUAGUCCUAUAUGUGCAUGCUUCAAUCUCUCUCUAGAGUUAUAGACACUAUCAAAUAUAACUCUAUAGAGAGAUCUGUAUGUAUAUAAGGUGUAAUUAUUUUGUGAUGUGUUUACGUUGGGACUUAGGCCCGUCUGUCUAGAACAGACAUAUUUAUAUGUAGGGGCUGGGAGAGACUUAUUCACAGAUAUCUGCAGAGGACCAACUGGGAACACUGUAUCUGCCCUCUAGGAAACCAGCUAGGAGAGUUGUGUACUUAUGGAGGGAUGGAGUUACAAAAGGGUAAAUAGAGCUCAG